CUGUGUGUGGUGACUGUGUAGGCGACACAUUCUCAGAUGGAUCAUUGACAUCCUGCAGACCACACACACGGUGUGAGUUGAUUGGACUUGUUGUCCUAAGAGAAGGAUCAUCCUCUUAUGACACUGAUUGUGGUCAA